ACGUUAGCAAUAUACAGAAUAUUUUAAUUACAUUUCAUGUUAAUCAUUAUUGUUUACUUAACAAUGAUUGUUGGUCACUGAUUUAAAAAAAUGUCUUUAAUAGGUUUCCUGUCCAUUGUGUGAUAAGAAUUUACUCAGGAGUCUAUACAACUGCAUGCCAGCUUUUGUGGUGAAGGAGGAAGAGGACAGCAUCAUACUGGAUGUGGAUGACUCUUCCAAGCACUUAAUCUGCUUAUCAGACAUCCUGAAGUUCCUACAAGAAAGAGUUGACAACACUAAAACCUUUAACAUAAUGUGACAAGGGACGACCUUUACCAGAGAGGUCUGAAACAGCGGGCCAGACAGAAGCAGGCUUCCCCCAAAAACCAGCUAAUUGUUUCCUUUAUUGGAGAACACGACAUUGAUGAAGGAGCACUACGCCGAGAGUUCCUAACUGGAUCUGUGGGGAGAUCAUUGCCACCAGCUUGGUUCAAGCAGGACCAGCACCGAAUUUCUUUUCUACUUGGUCUUACCAUUUCUUGCGUCAUGGACAAAUAACAAAUGAAGAUGUGCCAGAGGUGACUGAUACGGCAAUCCAGAACCUGAUUCAGGAGGUAAAUUAAACAGAAUAAUUUAUUUUCUGUAAAUUGUACUAACAAGUGUUUCUGAUUGAAGGUCGAACGUGCCGAAGAAGACGCACUGACAGACCUUUCUGAUGCCAUUGUAGCAUGUGGCUACACUGGUCAAUUCACAGCAAUUGCAAAAGGGCCAUCAUUGAGGCCAUCAGUUUGCAUUCGGUGAUGAGACUCAUACCGAUGCUAAGUCAGCUUAGAGAAGGACUGGCCAUCUAGGGUUUGGAUGAGCUGUUGCCACAACACCACCAGGCACUUCAGCCCCUCUUUCUUCCUGGGAACCUUAAACAGGUGGAUGCAGACUUCGUUGUGGAGGCACUGGCUCCUCAGUACAGUGACAAUGGAUCAGUAAGACACAAAGGAAGUGGACAUGAUCAACUUUUUGCAGGACCUCUUGCAAAACCUGGAAGAAGGAGGAACAGAUGACCAAGAUGGGAGCCCAUCAGAUGGCUGUGGAGCAAAGCAGUUGUCAGUGCAAGGAUUUUUUUCAGUGGGUUUCAGGCCAGGCACAUGUGCCACUAACAGACACAGAAAGAGAAUUUUACAAGAUAACUAAAUGUUGAUCACGACAGUACCACCCGGUAUGGACCACACUUAAUCACCUUACCUACAUGGCACGUUACUACAUACACUGACUUUGAAAGUCAGCUUACUCAGGCAGUCUGUGAUAGAUUUGAUUUUAGCAGACAUUAAGUGAAAACAAGAUGGCCACUGUUCUGGGUUCAGGUUACUGUAUAAUGGUUCAAAUUUAACUUUGAAUCCAAAAAGACAAAUGGUUUUGUUAAAUAAUGUAAUGUUUUGGAGCUAGAAAGCGACAUUGUUACAUGAAUCCAUAAAGUUAGGCUUAUUGCCAUUUCAAAUACAUGUUAUGUAUUUCUUUUGUAACAUUAAUAAAAGCACUGGAACUGAU